ACUUGAUAAUACAGAAUCAGAUCAGACUGCAGACACUGAUGCCAGCGAAUCUCAUCACAGUACUAACCGUCGUAGGCGGUCUCGUAGACGAAGGACUGAUGAAGAUGCUGUUCUGAUGGAUGGAAUGACUGAAUCUGAUACAGCUUCAGUUAAUGAAAAUGGGCUAGAUGAUAGCGAAAAAAAACCCCAGCGACGCAAUCGUAGCCGCAGGCGUCGCUUCAGGGGUCAGGCAGAAGAUAGACAGCCAGGUAACUGAGUGGACCUGUGGAUACCAUCAGGUCACAAGCAUGAAAAAAUGUCAUAUGUCUGCUUUCUAAAUAUAUUAUACUUACAUGUACACAUGUGUGCAUAUACAUUCAAAAUUUGCAUUGCAUAAAUUGUUUAUUCAACUAAUAAGACUACUACUAUUAAGAAAAUGCAUUCUUCCUUCACAGUGUGUUAGUAACUUGUCUAAUUGAACUAAUGUUGUGUCCUAAUUGUUUACAUGGAAAUACUGUUGAGAAGACCAUUUUGUUCACUUGGCAGUUUCUUCACACUUGAGAUGGGGCCUGCCAUCCGAGGGACUGUGUUGUAGAUUGUGAUCAAGGUUGAUUGGCAAAACUGGGCAGCUUUUGCAUGGUGCCUGCUUACUAUAUCUGAAUUCAGCACCUCAUUUUUGUGGGAGUUGUAAUACCCACAAUUAAAAAAAAAGUAUAAAAGAGAAAAAUAUUUGAAGGUGUCUUUAACCUAAUGCGAGGAAUGCAUGUUGUUUUUGUUUGUUUAUUGUAGUGUGAUGCCUUUUCCCUUACACCUACUAACUAUUCAAAUUAAUAAUACUUACUUAGUUUUAGAAUGUUUAUUUUAUGUAGUCAUUAAUUUUUAGUAACUUCAAAGAAACUUGUUUGCUGUGUCUAUUAUUUUGAACAUAA
rnacentral:sRNA from 1 species